CUACCUGCAGUCGACGAUGAAGCCCUUCGGGGUGGAUUAGUGGCGAACGGGUGAGUAACACGUGGGCAAUCUGCCCUUCACUCUGGGACAAGCCCUGGAAACGGGGUCUAAUACCGGAUACAACCACUGACCGCAUGGUCGGGUGGUGGAAAGCUCCGGCGGUGAAGGAUGAGCCCGCGGCCUAUCAGCUUGUUGGUGAGGUAAUGGCUCACCAAGGCGACGACGGGUAGCCGGCCUGAGAGGGCGACCGGCCACACUGGGACUGAGACACGGCCCAGACUCCUACGGGAGGCAGCAGUGGGGAAUAUUGCACAAUGGGCGAAAGCCUGAUGCAGCGACGCCGCGUGAGGGAUGACGGCCUUCGGGUUGUAAACCUCUUUCAGCAGGGAAGAAGCGAAAGUGACGGUACCUGCAGAAGAAGCGCCGGCUAACUACGUGCCAGCAGCCGCGGUAAUACGUAGGGCGCAAGCGUUGUCCGGAAUUAUUGGGCGUAAAGAGCUCGUAGGCGGCUUGUCACGUCGAUUGUGAAAGCCCGAGGCUUAACCUCGGGUCUGCAGUCGAUACGGGCUAGCUAGAGUGUGGUAGGGGAGAUCGGAAUUCCUGGUGUAGCGGUGAAAUGCGCAGAUAUCAGGAGGAACACCGGUGGCGAAGGCGGAUCUCUGGGCCAUUACUGACGCUGAGGAGCGAAAGCGUGGGGAGCGAACAGGAUUAGAUACCCUGGUAGUCCACGCCGUAAACGGUGGGAACUAGGUGUUGGCGACAUUCCACGUCGUCGGUGCCGCACUAACGCAUUAAGUUCCCCGCCUGGGGAGUACGGCCGCAAGGCUAAAACUCAAAGGAAUUGACGGGG
rnacentral:rRNA from 1 species